rnacentral:rRNA from 1 species
UAGGGAAUCUUCCGCAAUGGGCGAAAGCCUGACGGAGCAACGCCGCGUGAGUGAUGAAGGUCUUCGGAUCGUAAAACUCUGUUAUUAGGGAAGAACAAAUGUGUAAGUAACUAUGCACGUCUUGACGGUACCUAAUCAGAAAGCCACGGCUAACUACGUGCCAGCAGCCGCGGUAAUACGUAGGUGGCAAGCGUUAUCCGGAAUUAUUGGGCGUAAAGCGCGCGUAGGCGGUUUUUUAAGUGUGAUGUGAAAGCCCACGGCUCAACCGUGGAGGGUCAUUGGAAACUGGGAAACUUGGGUGCAGAAGAGGAAAGUGGAAUUCCAUGUGUAGCGGUGAAAUGCGCAGAGAUGUGGAGGAACACCAGUGGCGAAGGCGGCUUUCUGGUCUGUAACUGGCGCUGAUGUGCGAAAGCGUGGGGAUCAAACAGG